GCUAGAGUAGGUGAGAGGGAAGUAGAAUUCCAGGUGUAGCGGUGAAAUGCGUAGAGAUCUGGAGGAAUACCGAUGGCGAAGGCAGCUUCCUGGCAUCAUACUGACACUGAGGCUCGAAAGCGUGGGUAGCAAACAGGAUUAGAUACCCUGGUAGUCCACGCCGUAAACGAUGUCUACUAGUCGUUGGGUCCCUUGAGGACUUAGUGACGCAGCUAACGCAAUAAGUAGACCGCCUGGGGAGUACGGCCGCAAGGUUAAAACUCAAAUGAAUUGACGGGGGCCCGCACAAGCGGUGGAGCAUGUGGUUUAAUUCGAUGCAACGCGAAGAACCUUACCUGGUCUUGACAUACACAGAAUCUUGUAGAGAUACGAGAGUGCCUUCGGGAAUUGUGAUACAGGUGCUGCAUGGCUGUCGUCAGCUCGUGUCGUGAGAUGUUGGGUUAAGUCCCGCAACGAGCGCAACCCUUGUCCUUAGUUACCAGCGGGUUAAGCCGGGAACUCUAAGGAUACUGCCAGUGACAAACUGGAGGAAGGCGGGGACGACGUCAAGUCAUCAUGGCCCUUACGACCAGGGCUACACACGUGCUACAAUGGUAGGUACAGAGGGCAGCUACACAGCGAUGUGAUGCGAAUCUCAAAAAGCCUAUCGUAGUCCAGAUUGGAGUCUGCAACUCGACUCCAUGAAGUAGGAAUCGCUAGUAAUCGCGGAUCAGAAUGCCGCGGUGAAUACGUUCCCGGGCCUUGUACACACCGCCCGUCACACCAUGGGAGUUGAUUGCACCAGAAGUGGUUAGCCGA
rnacentral:rRNA from 1 species